CCUGGGGCUCCUUCCUGCUCCUCUGCCCUCCUCGCAGCACUUCUCACCUUGCCCAUCCCUCCCAUCUUCCCCCAGGUCCUUGUGCUGGGAGCACCGCCCGCAGCAGGCAGUGGAGGCAGCGCCGGCGCAGGACACGACCUGCAUCAUCUGCAUGGAGCCCGUGGGGGACAGCAGGUCGUACAGCACCAUGGUGUGCCCAUCCUGCCAACACGCCUGGUUCCACCGGGCCUGCAUCCAGGAACAGGCCAUGCGUGCCGGCAUCUAUUGCUUCCAGUGCCCCCUCUGCAGAGACAGGGACUGGUUUCUUCGAGACAUGGUCACUAUGGGGAUCCGAAUCCCAUUCAGGUUGGUGUCUUUCAACCAGCUCUCGAGAUGUGAGGGCACACAAGCUGUCCUUUGGAAGGAGCUGCCCCAGCAGGCCUGGCCCUUUGCAGCCAUUAACAUGGGCCUCAGCAUCAUUGGGAAGCUGGAACGGGGGUUAGGGUGGAUGAGGAGGGAUUCCACGCAUAAGUUUUAGUCCUGGGGCGGUGAGUGCUCAUCACAUUCCCUCCCUUCUCUGGCAGAAAACCAACAUGGGAGGACAACAAUGCCUAUGCAUCCCUGCGAAUUCGACACGAUCGCUGUGAUGCCAGCAGCUGCCUUUACCCACGCGGCAGGGAGCGGGCAGAGAGAGAGGGGCCCUGGCAGCUGCUCCUCUGCAGCUCCUGUGCUGCACAAGGCACCCAUCGGCGCUGCUCCUUCUGAGUCAGGGCACAGCCAGCUGGGAGUGCAACGCCUGUGCUGGAGAGGGCACCGGUAAGAGGCAAACAGCCGCGUGCUGCUGGGCUGGGGCCAGGCGAGGCCUUGCUCCAGUCCCUUUGGCCCACG
ensembl:lncRNA